UACCCACCAGUGAUGUACGCCGAACGAGCUGCAGUGUGACACUACUCCCAACGUACUAUUUGUGGCAACACUUAUUGUGCGCUAAGUAUUUCUGGACAGGGAGGCAUCCCGUCAAUGGAUAGUGCAUAAAGUUAUCGGGGUACCUUCACGUUUCCAUAAAGUGAGGUUAUAUUCCAACUGUGAAUGUAGAUUGUCUAGUGAUGGCGAAUGAUUUGAUUUGCCACUUCUAAGCAUGGGGAUGAAGCCCACUCAAAUCGCAAGACUAUUUUGAAGAGGCAUUUCCUGUGAAGUUCUGGCGAUGGAGGCAGCAGACGGCUGAGUCACCUGCCAUAUGGGCAUUCCCCUCGGUGUUACGGAUGUGUCGUCAACAAAUAACAACAUUGAUACAAUCUGUCAGCAAACAAUAGUGCAGCUACUGAUAACACCAGGCAAAAGUUUAAAUUUUGCGGGCCAUCGGAUAUGAAACAUGAUGGGCUUUCAUAAUUCAGUUUAACUGCUAAAAUUUUUGAUGUUUUUGAAUCACUUUUGUAAUUGGGUUUUUAAAAUUUAAGUCAAAUAUCGAUAAGCUCUAUAUUGUGAAGAGAAAAAAGAAUAUUCAGUAAUAGGUAGCUAAAUUAUAUUUUUUAAAUGGAGAAAAGCUGAACAUUUCCCGCUUCCCCCUUUCAAAAAAGACUUAUCGAGAGUCUUCAAAGUUUAGAUUUCCCAAAACUAAACGCAGCAGUCCGAAGUGCCCGAGGAGAACGAGACUCGUGCCCCCUCGCAGUCAAUCAACGACAUAAUGGAUUUUCUAAAUUCUUAUCCAGUGAUGUAAUUGCAUCUAUUUACUGUGAUCACAUCCAGCAUAUUAUAUGGUCCAUCAACGCGAAUAAAAUCCAAUCGACAUUGCCAUCACUAAAAUAAUAAUCAUAGUAUUAUUCAUCAAAAUCAUAAUGAUAAUAAAUCAUAAUAAUAAAAAUUAUUGUAAUUGUCAUAAUCAACAUCAUCAUGAAAAUCACCUUUACCAGCAACAUCAUUUUUUAAAAAGUGUUGUUUACUGGUACAUGCAUAUAUUGAAAUAUUAAUUUGUUAGGCCAUAUUCCAUGAAUACUUACCUGCUGGUAUGCAAGCUUGAUAGCUUUAUAGCACUUCCAGGACUCGUCAAUGAAUUUAUGCAACACCGUUGGCACGAUGAAUGAUAUGAAUCAGUGAUUGGUUGUUACCUGCACAAUUACAAUUAAAAAAUCUCAAACUGCGGUCAGAAGGUCGCGUUAGCAUUACUCAAAACGACUGCAUUGCCAUCCCCGUUCUAAACGACUUUAUGCAACCCUCCUACCGUAUAUUCUGGUGCCUAACUAGAGAGGGCUGGUAUAGCAAGGGGGCUAAUACUAUCUCCAUUAAUCAAUAAAAUUGAGAUCAUACAGCAAGAUGUAGUGAGAAAGUAGACAAAAUGGUUGAUGGAAGAAUCUUUUGUAUCUUCAACUGCUACAAGCAAUGGAAAACGAAAUAUGGAAGCUGAAGACAACCGAUUUGGUAUAAUUUUGCAAGGGCACUUGCAGCAUGGAAAGGCGGGUGCACCCAACCCCUGACAUCAGCCAACGGGAGCAGUUGGGGCAAAACGCACCCUUUGAAAAACAAAAGAAAACUGGCACGUGUCAUUUGGUGUAUUUUGGUAUUCAGAAUUUCCCUACAUUGCCUUUUCUUGUGCUGACGUUCGUGUAUUUGUUUUAGAGAAAAAACUUCCUCAGUCACUCUAAGUAUACUCUGUGAAAUGGAGUUGCCUCAGGUUUUUUAAUAAGGGAACGGGCAAAUGUAUUUGCCCCUUCUGCCCCAUUGCUCCUUUCAAAUAAUAGAUUAACUCUUGAACCCCCAAGUUGCGACACCUUAGGAAGGAUUAUGCAUCAGUCCUUUAAUCGUUUUCAUGACUUCGGUGAACACCUUUUUUUUGUUUAGGGGGCCCAGCCCAGAUAAAUAAGUGUAGCAACAGCCAUAUGUUACUAAAUAAAAGUAUUUCACUUAUGCUACUUAAGUUUUAUAGGGGGAGAGGCUUUAUGCUACUUAAGUUUUAUACGGGGGGGGGGGAGGCUCCCCGGUACAUCAGUCCUUGAAAACACUUUUUGAAAAUGUCGAGGGUCUGCGAAACUGUUUGCGCAGUGUUUGCAGUUUUUGGCUAGCUAUCAAUUUUGAAAAUAAUGAGAACGAAAGGAUUGAAGAGGGACUUUGAUUAUUAAUAAAGGCAACAUGAAUGGGACUGUAGGCAAGAUUCAAAUAACGAAUCCGUUUUUCUUUAAGCCAUAGAAUACUCUGAAGAUUGAGCCCCUUUCUUUUAACUUUCUGGGCACCUGUCUCUAUCCCCAUUGCCUAUGGUCUUGCCUUUACAUAACAGAUGCUUCUUUGUUCUAUAUAAAUGUGGUCAGACAUUUACGAUGUUCUUGAUAUGGUGGUUUUUGACAACACUUGUCAAAAACAUCAGUUAAAAAUUAUCAAUUUGUUGCUAAGCCUCAAGAAUCAUGUACAGGGAAAUACAAAAUAUUUAAGUCAGUGAAAGCAAUUGAUACACCUCAAAAUACAGUCUGUCUCCUAAAAUCGCAAGAAUGCCCUUUUGUCUAAAGUUUUAAUUUGAAGAGUUAUGAGUCUUUAUCUAUCUAAUACUCUAUUCAAGUGACUUAAUCGAUACCCUUUGAAGUCAAAAAUACAAAUUUAUAGAUGAUAGUCGUCUCAAAUGUCCAGAUGAAUUUUUGAGGAGAUUGUCUGGAAUCUUUUGUAAAAAGGUUGAAUGGUUUUAAGGAAUCAAUUCCAAUCAUUAACUUAAACCCUGGAAUCUAUGAAUUAAAGACAUUUACCUAUCUCUAUCAAAACUUCAUACUUCCAUAAAUACGCACUUGUUUUACAAAAACAAAUUCAUCAGAGCACGAGCCUCAAAGUUGGUCAAGAACUAAGAACGGAUUAAGAACAAGCUAAGCUGCUGGGAUGAGGUAAUAAAAUGGAAGAACAUUGCUAAUAAAAGGAUGUGUAUUUCAUGACACAGUAUACUUAUUUUAUUGCUAAUGUUAUUAAAAAACAACAUUUGCGUUAUACACAUCAAACGCUUUUCUAUCUAAAUUUAUUUAAAUUACACCAUUAUGAUUUGAAACAAUUUAGAACAACCCAGCCUCAAAUUUCAUUUUUGUACACAAAAUGAUUGCACAUGUAUCGGUGAUCGAAAAAUGUGGCAGUGAUUUCAAGAGUCAUAAUUGUCAGCGCUUUUUUCGUUCAUAAAGAAGAGUAGCUAACCACAUUGAAAUGGAGGUUUACAGGGGUAUUCAAAAAUAUCAUGCCUAGCCUUAGGCCUCCGUGUAACUUGGACCGACUUCCUUAACUUGAAACUAAAUCUAGCUAUGUAUCUCUAAAAAUACCCUGUUUGGUACAAGCUUAUUAACGUUCACACAUGACAGUUCCCUUUGUGCUGAAUGGUAAAAGUGAAUAUUUCCAAGAUAAUCUGUUAAAUGUAACCAAUGACGUAUUCUGUGAUUUAAGGUUGGAGAAGGAAAAUUGCAGAAGGGGAAGAACACGGGAUCGGGAAACCCUUACCUGGAACAUUUUUAGGACCUCGCCCUCUAAAAUGCCUGACAAAGUCCCUUCUAUUACGAUCUUCAAAAAGCGAUACAUUCACUUUAGAGCCACAUCAAAUCCCAAAGAGAGGACCUUUCAAGUCAUAGGCUCAGCUAAAAUUCGUUCAAGUAGGAAAGGUAAAAUUAAUUAGUUUUUAACCAAGAUAAAGAUCAAACAGUUGACAUUUUCUUACGCUAUAUAAAGUUGGCAUAGAACACAAAAACAGGAGGGUUUUACGUCUGUGUGGUCGUAAAGGCGUCAGUCGCAGGUUUUCUGUCAUACCUGUUUAUAAAUGUAGUAGUGGAAAUAGAAAGAAUUUUGAGGCAAGGAAUAAUUCCUCAAUUUCCUCAGUGACAUAGGCUUAAAUACGCCUAUUGAAAAUGUCCCUUCAACAACGAAAAGGCUUGCAAUGCAUUACGUGAGAGAAGGCUUAAAUACGACACUGUUCCAGUCCCAGCAAAGCGUGAGACUCAGAGCUACCACUUGGAACUGUAUUGUUCUACAAACUAAAGAGUUUUCACACGACAUUGAUUUGUACAAUCAGCACAUACAGCACGUUCGAUUCAGUAGCAAUCAUUGUACGAUAAGUCAAGAAGAACAUUCCUUUUAUCCAAAUCCCUUGUUUGCCCAUGACGUGCCAUCUAUAAAUGCUCAUCUAUAAAUUCCAUUAUUCAUCUUUAUCACAAGCGAUAAAUAUACGGUGACAUUCCAGUAUCACUAUUUGCUCUUUUAAACCAUUGGAUGAUCUUUCUGGAUGAUCAGAAUUGUCAGCCAAACGUAAAUGAGCUGUCAACCAGGAUUGGCUAUAACGAGAGAAGGGCAAUUCCAUGCCUGACCUCCAAAUGGAUCAAUUUAUGCAUAGCAAAAUUUUUUCAAUAAUUCCAAUAUUUUGACGAUGAUAUGUCAAAUAAUACAAAAUCAAUAUAAUUCCUGGAUCUUCAGAAAAGCGCCAUGUACCAAUAAAUGCGAUGGCCAACGAUGCUUUUAUCAUAAUGAUGAUUAUUACUAGUAUGCAAUGUAUUGUAUUGUUUCAAUACAAUGUGUUCAUUCGGACAGAGCUUCUUGGCUCGGCGGCUUGGCUCUUUUUCAAAUAUGAAACUAGGGUUUUAGUGGUUAACCCGUUAUUUAUAACUACAAUAUUACACUGGCAUCGGAAGGGUGAUUGUCCCACCCACCCAAACAUCGAAGUUAAGGGAGGCAAAAUCGGAAAAAUUGGAAUGGGGGGAUCACCAAAAACAAGAGAUAUUAAAUAAUUACACCCUAUUGUGAUGAACAGAGACUCUUCUGUAUAAGGAGUUUCUCUACAGUUCAGUUUUUAGAUUGAAAGCAUUUGAUUGGAAUAAUACUGGACAGGUUAAAAAAUGCAGCUUGUUUGCUGUUAUUUUCUAAAAGAACACCUCUUUAGACGAACGCUGCCUCCUUCAAGGAAGUCGCCCAGCGUUUCUCUCGUCAAUCAGAUACUUUUGCAAUAAUAGGCAGCAUGCAACUGAAGAAAAUUUUGAAAUAUUUAUCAGGUAUUAGGAAAUAUUCAAGUCACCUGGGUUAGGUUUAAAGAACUUCUUCGUAUUGAAUAUUUAAGCAGGACAAUCACUGUUCAAUAGAAAGCUUCUUUUUACAUUUCCCUACCUGAAACAUACCCCAAAUCGAAUACAUCGAAUUUGAUCUACAAAACUAGCGCUUGUUUGGCGGAAUACGGCAACGUAAGGUGAAACGUAGAAGGCGCCUUUCCCCUUUCCGUCGGUCUCCUUCGCAGAAGUCCACAGGAAGGAAACAAACACUCCUCUCUCAAGCACAAAAUAGACUUGGAGCAAGUCUAGGUGGAACGUUGCUUCUGUUCGUGACCCAAGGCAUCUAAAAUAGCUGACCUUGCUUUCAAGAAAACGGUAGAACGACCAAGCUGGCCGAAAUGGGGGCAACGGAGAGGGAGAAUGCUUCAAGGGAACGUUUCAAAGAAAACCCCGCUAGGAUAUUCAGAUCGUGUAUUUUUGUAUUAAGAUAUACCUGAUGCAAAGUUUUAUUCCUGGUCAAGUAACUCGUGUGGAAGGCUGAAGCUAUCUAGACCCCGCGUGGACCAUUGCCCUACACGCCCAUUUAAAUCCAUUCAUAUGCGUCCGCUGGGUAAAUGUAAUAAGUUAACAACAAAUCAAAACUUUGCAGAAUUUGGUAAUUGCACACAAUUGAACUCAAGGCAAUGGCCACCAUCUUAAGACGGACCUCUUUGAUCCGAGCCUGGUCCGCCGGCUUAUAAAAGUAGUUUUGCUAACUGGUCAGAUUUGCUUAGAUUUGUACCAUUCCUAUUUUACGGAUAAAAGAUAUAAAACUUCCAAUCACAUCACAAAGCUCAAUAGGAAUAUUUUAAUGAUGAUCCUACCACUUCUAAGAAGGAUUAGGAUAAAUCUGCAUUGUCCGUUGCUUCUGAAUCGAUUCAAAAAACGUUUUAAGUGACUUUAAAUCUGUACAUUCUUCCUCUGACGCAGAUAAAUUUGGUCAUGAGUUAAAAUUCGCGCUUUAAAUGCGAUAAGAGGGUAGAGAGGUACAAACACGUUAAAAGAAAGUUUGGUAAAUGGAAUAGUUAAAAAUCAAGGGCGAGAUCAAUAAUCAGGUUAAUUUCUAUCUUAAUUUUUUAUCCAUAAAUGAUAGCUAUCGCCGUGCUAGGAGGCCACUAACUGAUAACCCUGCCAUUGUGACCUGGCGUGGAUUUUCGCUUUAUUUCAUUAUGACUCUUAUCGUCACAUUUUCUAUCUGAAGAUGUAGGGAGCGAAAAACAGGCCUGGCAUUUGGGUAAUCUGAUUUCUAAACGAUCAAGGGAUAAGCACUGUACAAUUGAAUUGAGCACAAUAGACUACAUGUAAAUUUCAUUUUCGCCCUUGAUUUUGUUGAAGUAGCGAGACGAAGUAACGCAAUUUGCACAUGGGUAAGGCAAAACAGAAGCAAAUACCUCUGGAGAUGGCGCCAAUAAAGAUCUGAGGUUGCUUGCCUCUCCCAUUCACCAUAAAAUUGAAAUCAGAAUCCAUUUGAUGAAGAUUCCUUCAUAGCAGGGGUUAGAUUUGACGUAGCAUUAUAAGAGAGAAAGGAUUGAUUUGAAGAUUAACUGGAAGUGCAUGUGUGCGUGACUUGGGUGAUCAUUUCAAUGGUAGCAUCAAUUGAGCAAUCAAGCUAAGCGGGGAGGCUACUUUGUAUUUGCAACAAGUAAACAAAAUUCAUGCCUGAAUGGGAAGGGUUGCAAAAAUGAGAAAUGAGUCAGAAAUCAAAGACAUGUUAAUGCAUAUCUGGGGUUAGGAAUACCUGGAUCAUGACAGACAGCAAAUCAAAAGGGAAUCCAGCAAGCAUCAGGCAUUAGUUUCAUUCUAUUGAAAAGUCGACGUAAAUUAAUUCAUGUUACGUCAGUUCUGAAGAGGGCACGGCUUUUGUAACAAACACUCAACUAAACGAUUAAUACGGCUUCUCAUCCCAUUCACGCCAAUAU